AGUUUUCAUUUUAUAAUUUAAGAAAAAUGGUUAAAGAUUGUUAAAAAUUGCUUAACACAAACAUAAAUAUAUAAAAGCAUAUCUAUACAGAAUAAAUUUCAGCUCAGUCAGUGGCCAAAUUUGGACAUUUUUAAGUCAGUUGUCAGAGUAAUAAAUCAUUAAAAAACUUUUUUAAUCAAUAGAGGUAUUUUAGUGGACAAAUAUCCAGUGGUAUAAAAUUUUUUCUAAGUCUCCCUUGUAAACAUUUUCAAAACAUGACAGCUAUGUGCAUACACAUAAAAACUAUAUAUAUGUGUGUGUGUGUGUGUGUGUGUGUGUGUGUGUGUGUGUGUGUGUGUGAAUAAUGUAUAUAUAAUGAUUUAUAUAUACAUUGUUUACAUAUACAUUAGGUUUGAAGCAGAGGCAGUUGUUCCAUCUUGUUCGAAAAAAGAUGGAUGGUUAUUUUGGUCAACUUGUGUUCAUGCAAUGAAAGCUACCUAUAAUAAUUUUUCAAUCUUUGAUUCCUGUUACAAACUUAGACUUAAAAGAGUUAAAGUAACUGGAGAUAAAGAAGUAUGUGCUGGAUUUAGUUUCACGACUAAAGAGGACUCCGAAGAAGAAUGUAAGUAAUUAUGUUUGUGAAUAAUAUUGUUUCUCUUCGGAUUUAACUUUUCUUUGUUUUUUAUACAGUA